rnacentral:rRNA from 1 species
CUUUCUUUGCUGAGAGUGGCGGACGGGUGAGUAAUGCUUGGGGAUCUGGCUUAUGGAGGGGGAUAACGACGGGAAACUGUCGCUAAUACCGCGUAAUGUCUAAGGACUAGAGGGUGGGACUUUCGGGCCACCUGCCAUAAGAUGAGCCCAAGUGGGAUUAGGUAGUUGGUGGGGUAAAGGCCUACCAAGCCGACGAUCUCUAGCUGGUCUGAGAGGAUGACCAGCCACACUGGAACUGAGACACGGUCCAGACUCCUACGGGAGGCAGCAGUGGGGAAUAUUGCACAAUGGGGGGAACCCUGAUGCAGCCAUGCCGCGUGGAUGAAGAAGGCCUUCGGGUUGUAAAGUUCUUUCGGUGAUGAGGAAGGGUGAUGUUUUAAUAGAGCAUUACAUUGACGUUAGUCACAGAAGAAGCACCGGCUAACUCCGUGCCAGCAGCCGCGGUAAUACGGAGGGUGCGAGCGUUAAUCGGAAUGACUGGGCGUAAAGGGCACGCAGGCGGUGACUUAAGUGAGAUGUGAAAGCCCCGAGCUUAACUUGGGAAUUGCAUUUCAUACUGGGUGGCUAGAGUAUUUUAGGGAGGGGUAGAAUUCCACGUGUAGCGGUGAAAUGCGUAGAGAUGUGGAGGAAUACCG